UACAGAGGUCCCAAGCGUUGUUCGGAAUCACUGGGCGUAAAGCGCACGUAGGCGGCUUUUUAAGUCAGGGGUGAAAUCCUGGAGCUCAACUCCAGAACUGCCUUUGAUACUGGGAAGCUCGAGUCCGGGAGAGGUGAGUGGAACUCCGAGUGUAGAGGUGAAAUUCGUAGAUAUUCGGAAGAACACCAGUGGCGAAGGCGGCUCACUGGCCCGGUACUGACGCUGAGGUGCGAAAGCGUGGGGAGCAAACAGG
rnacentral:rRNA from 1 species